UUUUUUUUAAUCUUUGUUUUGUCUGUUCUAUUGAGCAUGCAUUAUGGUUUUCAACCGUUUUUGGGGCUCUGUGCAUUCCCGGCUACUUUUAUUUUGAAUUGUCACUCGUUCAUCUGCCUCAGUUUUUCUUCUUCUUUCUCCAUUGCUUUUCCAGAUAUAUCAUGUUAUUUUAGUUUUUUUGAUAUAGUAUUUCAGAAUAUUUUUUUGGGUCAACAGUGGUUAUCCAUGAAAAUCUUUUUUCAAAUUUUAUGUUUGUUUCUUAAUUUGAAGCUCGAAUACAUGUGAAUUAAUAACCUGUGUCAAUUAAAUGAAGUGGAAGAUUGCACACAAAAAAAUUCUUUUAUAAUAAAUUGGCUUUAUGCAGGUAACAAGGCAUUCUAGGGCAUAUUUGGUGUUUUGUAGGAUUCUGUGAUCAUGGCUGGAGAGGAGCGACAGCAUGGCAUUGUGAGUCCUUUAUCAAUGGCGGGUCCUACCGAGAAAGAUCGUUUAAGGAAUGAACAAUUAGAAGAGUUUUUGAGGAGUCAAGGGCUUUACGAGAGCCCUGAGGAAGCUGCUUUGAGAGUUGAAGUUUUGGCUGAGAUUGAUCAGAUUUCGAAAUCAUGGGUCAAGCGAGUGACUAAAGAAAGAGGUUAUGAUGAUCAAAUGGUAGAGGGAGCCAAUGCUAAAAUUUUUACAUUUGGAUCGUACAGAUUGUCUGUUCAUGGCCCGGGAGCAGAUUUGGAUACUCUUUGUGUAGGGCCAUGCUAUGUGACUAGGGAGGAGGACUUUUUUAUCAGUCUGCACGAGAUGUUGGCUGUUAUUCCAGAAGUCACUGAACUUCAACCUGUCCCUGACGCAUAUGUGCCUGUUAUGAAGUUCAAGUUCAGAGGGAUAUCUAUUGAUUUGUUGUAUGCUAGCUUAUCACUUUGGGUUAUACCAGAAGAUUUGGAUAUUUCUAAGGAGUCAGUUUUGCAAGGUACUGAUGAUCAAAGUGUAGUGAGUCUCAAUGGAUGUAGAGUUGCAGAACAGAUCUUGCGUCUUGUACCAAAUAUUGAGCAUUUUCGAACAACACUUCAAUGUAUGAAACUAUGGGCUAAAAGGCGAGGUCUAUACUCAAAUGUUUUGGGAUUCUUGGGUGGUGUGAACUGGGCAUUAUUAGUUGCUCAGAUUUGUCAGUUGUAUCCAAAUGCUAUUCCCAGCAUGCUGGUGGAAAGAUUCUUUCGUGUUUAUACUCAAUGGCACUGGCCAAAUCCUGUGAUGCUUUGUUCUAUAGAGGAGGGUACUUUAGGACUAACUGUGUGGGAUCCAAGGAGAAAUCCUUGGGAUAGAAACCAUCUCAUGCCCAUAAUCACACCAUCAUAUCCAUGCAUGAACUCUAGCUACAACGUAACCCAGAGCACACUUCUAGUCAUGACAGAGCAGUUCAAGAGUGCAAACAAGAUUUGUGAGGAUAUUAUGAUGAAUAAGGCAGACUGGAGUUUUCUCUUUAAGCCUUACAGUUUCUUUAAGUCGUACAAAAAUUAUUUGCAAAUAGACAUUGUAGCUGCAAAUCAAGAUGAUCUGAGGACUUGGAAGGACUGGGUUAAGUCUCGGUUAAGGCACCUUACUUUAAGGAUUGAAAGGUUUACAUGUGGGACGCUGCAGGUUCACCCUUACCCUUAUGAUUACAGGAACCCAUCUUCUCAAAAAUCACAUUGUACUUAUUAUAUGGGUUUACAACGCUCACAAGGAGUACCAGCACAAGAAGGUCAGCAGUUUGAUAUUCGUGACCCUAUAUAUGCAUUUAAGCUCUCUCUGGCCUUUCAUCCUAUCUGGAAACCAGGGAUGGACGUUUUUAUAUCACAUAUUCGCCACAGGCAAAUUCCAUCUUAUUUAUUUCCUUGUGGGGCAGUAUCAUGUAGAUCUGUGAAAGCUACAAAUCAAAGAGGGAAUACUUCUCCCGGAAGUAAAAAUGGAAAUUCUGGAAAUGAUUCUGCAAGAGAUCUAAAUCAAACAGUAGCUACUACGUCUACAGAGUCUAGUAGUGGAAACCCAGAUGAUAAUUCUGCAGAAGUUGCAAGUCAAACAAUACCAACUCCUUCUGGGUUUCACAGUGUAAGUUUUGAUUACAAAUCUGCAAAACAAUGUGGCAAGGUCAUGUGUAUGGAAUCAAAUAAGAGAAAACAUGAAGAUGCAGGUGAAAUGGAAGGAGAAGAAAAACGAGCAAAUAUUGGGGUUCACCGUAUCUUCCCCAUACAUUCCUCGAGCUUGCCAACGCUGACAAAUGAUCCCGUGAAGUAAUUGCAUUAAUCUGCGAAAAACAUGAAGUUUAUGGUUUUAAAGCGGUGUAUCGGACUCGAGAUUCAAAAGAUUCUAUCUGCUAAAGUGGCAGAGGAUAAGUUGAAGUCUGGCACGUGGGUGCAAUUUCCAAUGGAUGAAGAUGUUGUGAAACAAAAUUUGUACACGCACAGAAGUUGAGAACCAUUCCAGCAACCGUAUCAAUGCUAAAACAGAUUAGUUAUGUCCUCCAUAAUUUUUCUGCUUAUUAAAGGUUAAAUUUCUUGUGUCAAAAUAUUGGUUAUGCCAGAUUGAACAAACAUGUUUCAUCGGGCACAAAACUAGAGUCAGCAAGGGAUAAAAAUAGAUAAAUGCGUAAUGGCAGUUCACCAUCAAUGGAAGAACAAUUGGAUGAAGAGAAACGCGAGAAAAACUUGCAGCUGGGGUCUUCAAAAUUACUGGGGUCUUCAAAGGUCUUCAAAAUUACUGAAUUCCAGGGUCUUCAAAAUUACUGGGGUGGGGUCUUCAAAGGUCUUCAAAAUUACUGAAUUCCAGGGUCUUCAAAAUUACUGGGGUUUUCAAAGGUCUUCAAAAUUACUGAAUUUCAGGUUGUUGUCCAAAUUACUGCAUUUCAACAUUUAAUAUCGAAGUGCAGAGGUGCUAUACUGGUUCAUAGCUCUGGAACAAGAGCAUUUACCCUUUUCAAAGGUGCAGGGGUGUUAUACCGGUUCGUAACUUUGGAUCAAAAGUGUUUAGCCUUUUCAAAAAAGUACAGAGGUCUGGUAAUUACACCGUAUGUUUCGAUAUCAAAAUGCAGAGGUGUCUCAUGCUUAUGCAUUGCAUAGCAUUUGCUUUAUCUGUGUUUGCUCUUUAAUUUUUUGGCAGACUGAAGAGUGCAAUAACCACACUAUAAUGAAGGCCUGCAAUUCUUUUUCAUGUUAAAAUUCUGUGCCAUAAUAUUGGUUAUGCCAAAUUGAACGGAGAUGUAUCACUUGCAACAAAUCUGGAUUCACCAAGUCAUAGAGGCGGUGCAGUGGUUAAUGGCAUUACACUAUCGAUGGAAGAAUGGUUAGGUGAGAAGAAACGUGAGAGUGAUUUGCAGCAUAAGGGAUCUUCUAAAUUACCAAUGUUUCAACAUUCAAUUUCAAAGUGCAGAGGUGUCUUAAUAUUUCUUCAUGACAUAUAAAGCUUAAAUUAUGUCCAAAUUUGUUUCACAGUGCAAUACCAUGAUACAAUAGAGGCAUGCCAUAUUCUUCUCCCUAUUUUAUAUUGUUAAUAUCUUUUGCAAGUAUAAUAAUUUGAGUUACCAUGCAGCACUGGAAAGGUCAUAACGGAUCCUCUAAAUCAACCAUCCUAUGUUUUAAUAUCAAAACACAGAAGUACAUUAUUAAAGGAAAAGGAUGGGUUAAAGAUGGCCAGGCUCAAACAGAGGAGCACUGAUGGAGGAUAAUUAUUGCUACUAUUCUAAUGAAGGCAGUUAUCUGGUUUGAUGGAUCAGGAGUUUUAGUUGGAAUCGUACUCAAGCAUGCAAAGCCGAGACCGAGUGUCAGUUUUUUUUGCAGUUAUCUGCAAUACGAGCUUGUUUCAAAGUAGAAGAGAUUUAUGAGAAUGCAUGUCAGGGCAUCAUCUAUUGGCUUCCACUUGGGCCUUAAUUUCCUAAUCUGGAAGGACUUUGGUUUAAGAGCUUUUAAAUCUACAAUUUAUUAUAAACUAGAAUAUCACUUAAUAAUGUGUUUGAAAUUGAUGCCCAAAGCCAACAUUAAUAUCCAUUCAAAAUGUUUAUUGGACGUAGUUUGGUUUUCAUUGUAAUUCAACCUUGAGAUAUUUCAAAUGCUAAAAAAUAGUUUUUAAUUUUUAA